UAUGUACUCCCUCCGUCCCAAAAUUCUUGUCUUAAAUUUGUUUAAAUAUGGAUGUAUCAAGUCAUGUUUUAGUAUUAGAUACAUCCGUAUCUAGACAAAUCUAAGACAAGAAUUUUGGGACGGAGGGAGUACUAA
rnacentral:pre_miRNA from 1 species